rnacentral:rRNA from 1 species
ACGAACGCUGGCGGCGUGCCUAACACAUGCAAGUCAACUUGACUGAAGGAGCAAUCUGACAGUAGAGUGGCGCAAGGGUGCGUAACGCGUAAGUAACUUGCCCCAAGGUAAGGAAUAACGUCGAGAAAUCGGCGCUAAUACCUCAUAAUGCAGCGGAUCCGCAUGGAUAUGUUGUUAAAGGUUUACCGCCUUGGGAUAGGCUUGCGUCUGAUUAGCUAGUUGGUGUGGUAACGGCACACCAAGGCUACGAUCAGUAACUGGGUCUGAGAGGAUGAUCAGUCACACUGGAACUGAGACACGGUCCAGACUCCUACGGGAGGCAGCAGUGAGGAAUAUUGGGCAAUGCUCGAAAGAGUGACCCAGCAACGCCGCGUGGAGGAUGAAGGUAUUCUAUAUCGUAAACUCCUGUGAGAGCAGACGAAAGACAGAUUAUUAAUCUGGAUGACUGUAUGCUCAGAGGAAGCCCCGGCUAACUACGUG